AUGAACCGCGAAGUGGCCAUCAAGAGGGUGUCCGAGACCUCUCGACAAGGAUGGAAGGAGUUCGUCUCUGAGGUGAGCAUCAUUAGCCGGCUGAGGCACCGGAACGCGCUCGUCAGCUCCUUGCCCGUCAGCGAGCAGAUGUGGGCUGGGGAGUGCCCGUCGACGAGCGCGUUCUUCUUGCUAAGCCGACCUCGACGGGAGUACAAGAUAGUGCUCGGAGUAGGUUCUGCACUUCUGUACUUGCAUCAAGACACGGAGCAGAGAGUAGUGCACACGGACAUCAAGCCAAGCAACAUCAUGCUAGACGCUUGCUUCACCGCCAAGCUCGGCGACUUCGGGCUCGCAAGGCUCAUCAACGACGGCCGGUGA
rnacentral:rRNA from 1 species